rnacentral:rRNA from 1 species
CCUACGGUAGGCUGCAGUGGGGAAUAUUGCACAAUGGGGGAAACCCUGAUGCAGCGACGCCGCGUGAUUAAAGAAGUAUUUCGGUAUGUAAAGCUCUAUCAUCAGGGAAGAAAAUGACGGUACCUGAUUAAGAAGCCACGGCUAACUACGUGCCAGCAGCCGCGGUAAUCCGGCGGGGGCAAGCGUUAUCCGGAUUUACUGGGUGUAGAGGGAGCGUAGACGUCAGCGCAAGUCAGAAGUGAAAUGCCGGGGCUUAACCCCGGAACUGCUUUGGAAACUGUGCAGCUAGAGGGCAGGAGAGGUAAGUGGAAUUCCUAGUGUAGCGGGGAAAGGCGUAGAUAUUAGGAGGAACACCAGUGGCGAAGGCGGCUUACUGGACUGUAACUGACGUGGAGGCUCGAAAGCGUGGGGAGCAAACAGGAUUAGAUACCCGAGUAGUC